GCGCUAGUAGUAUAGAGGUAAAAUAGAUGCUUCCCAAGCAUUUGUCCCGGGUUCGAUUCCCGGCUGGCGCA